GCGGACAUAGCUCAGUUGGGAGAGCGUCAGACUGAAGCGGGUCUCCAGACCUGGAAAACUUCACUCAAUCAAUCUGAAGGUCGUGUGUUCAAUCCACACUGGCCGCA
rfam:Colletotrichum gloeosporioides Cg-14 contig01953, whole genome shotgun sequence.